GUGUCAGCAGCCGCGGUAAUACGAAGGGUGCAAGCGUUAAUCGGAAUUACUGGGCGUAAAGCGCGCGUAGGUGGUUCGUUAAGUUGGAUGUGAAAGCCCCGGGCUCAACCUGGGAACUGCAUCCAAAACUGGCGAGCUAGAGUACGGUAGAGGGUGGUGGAAUUUCCUGUGUAGCGGUGAAAUGCGUAGAUAUAGGAAGGAACACCAGUGGCGAAGGCGACCACCUGGACUGAUACUGACACUGAGGUGCGAAAGCGUGGGGAGCAAACAGGAUUAGAAACCCCUGUAGUCC
rnacentral:rRNA from 1 species